AUACUCCAUUUCAAGUAUGUGGUGCCAUAGUGUUCUUGGAUGGAGUCUUGCCCUUUCAUUAUGUACACUAUAAUGUCAGUGUUCUGUGUCCAAGGCCAUUUUACAUUUGAAUGUGAUUGUAGCAUUUUAUUUAGUUUUGCCUCUGUAACCUAUGCUUGAAAGUUUAUUACCUACUGCUGG
rnacentral:lncRNA from 1 species